rnacentral:lncRNA from 1 species
AAAUAAUAAUUAAUAAAUUAUUAAAUUAAAAUUUUUUUAUAAAACCCAAUCGAUUUAGGCCCUUAUAAUUCACUUCCAAAAGGACAGAAAACGAGAGCAAAAGCAACCGGCCCAAAAAACCUACCUUCUCUUGUCACCAUUAGCUUUCAAAGAAUCCAGCAACUCCAUCCAAUCCUUAAGCCACCACGAGCUCACCUUCAUUCCUAUUGACAAUCCAAACUGACAGCAAGCAAUGGAGUGAUACCCAAUCACUAGCAAACCUCAAGCCUACUGCCAUCCUGUCAGUCACUCCAUUACCACCCUACUGCCUUAUUUACGACCGCAACUCAGCAACCCACAAACAGAGUCAGAGACCCUACCACAGUCUAAAAAAUCCAACAACAACCUAGUUGCCUCCCCAGUUAUCACCAUUACUCACUGUUACCUUCACCAGACAUUGACCCAGAAAACUCAAAACCCAACACAAUCAUGAUCAAAGCAAGCAUAACCAGAUUCAAUCAACAAUCCACAAUUAGACCCCAAAGCAAAGGAAAAUUCAAGAAGCCCUAAGCACCUCACCAUUGUCUGCAAACUACCCACCGAGUGCCCUCAUUGUCAAUUCCAUUCAGUCUCAAAUUCCCUUAGCAAAAUCAUGAACCCAACCACUAUAUAAUCACAUAGCUAAAGUAACCCAAGACAGCCAGCACCCAGCACAACCGCCAACCUCCACUCAAGUUAAUCUUAUCAUCAUCAUCGACCCUCUGUCAAACAGCCAUCAACAGACAAUAAGACACACACAAAGGAGCAAAGUUAGGAACAUAAGAAAGCCAGAAAUAACAAAAACAAAGGAAAAGACGCACCCUCUUGGUUUCUAGUUCAGGUUUCCUUGAGUGGGUUUCAAGUCUUCGAAACUUAUUGAGAAAUUAGCCAAAGAGAAGGAAAGUAACAUGCCUUGAGCUAGUGACUGUAAAAGUAGUGGAGAAAAAGAUUUUGGAGAAGGAAAUCGCGAUCUUCGGACUCAGAUUUACAUGGAUUUUUAAGGGUUCUAGAGAAGACUAGUUAAAGAUCGUGAAAGAAGGAAGAGAGGAAUCGGGAGAAGAAGUUUGGCGAGAUUCCGGCAUCGACGUGCGAAGAUCGACGGAGCGCACGGUGACGGUACUGUUGAGUCCAGUCGGGUUCUAGAAAUUAUGGAUGCUUUCUUGGGUUAUGUUUAGAAAGAAGUGAGAGAGAGAAAAAAAGAUUAGAGAAAGAAGCAAAAAAUGGAAAAUUGAAAGAAG